rnacentral:rRNA from 1 species
GACGAACGCUGGCGGCGUGCUUAACACAUGCAAGUCGAACGGAAAGGCCCUGCUUUUGUGGGGUGCUCGAGUGGCGAACGGGUGAGUAACACGUGAGUAACCUGCCCUUGACUUUGGGAUAACUUCAGGAAACUGGGGCUAAUACCGGAUAGGAGCUCCUGCUGCAUGGUGGGGGUUGGAAAGUUUCGGCGGUUGGGGAUGGACUCGCGGCUUAUCAGCUUGUUGGUGGGGUAGUGGCUUACCAAGGCUUUGACGGGUAGCCGGCCUGAGAGGGUGACCGGCCACAUUGGGACUGAGAUACGGCCCAGACUCCUACGGUAGGCAGCAGUGGGGAAUAUUGCACAAUGGGCGGAAGCCUGAUGCAGCAACGCCGCGUGCGGGAUGACGGCCUUCGGGUUGUAAACCGCUUUCGCCUGUGACGAAGCGUGAGUGACGGUAAUGGGUAAAGAAGCACCGGCUAACUACGU